rnacentral:rRNA from 1 species
UACGAAGGGGGCUAGCGUUGCUCGGAAUUACUGGGCGUAAAGGGCGCGUAGGCGGUUGGCACAGUCAGAUGUGAAAUUCCUGGGCUUAACCUGGGGGCUGCAUUUGAUACGUGUGAUCUAGAGUGAGGAAGAGGGUUGUGGAAUUCCCAGUGUAGAGGUGAAAUUCGUAGAUAUUGGGAAGAACACCAGUGGCGAAGGCGGUCUGCUGGGCAGUUGCUGACACUGAGGCGCGAAAGCGUGGGGAGCAAACAGG